UACAGAGGGUGCGAGCGUUGUUCGGAAUUACUGGGCGUAAAGCGCACGUAGGCGGCUUUGUAAGUUAGAGGUGAAAGCCCGGGGCUCAACCCCGGAAUUGCCUUUAAGACUGCAUCGCUAGAAUUGUGGAGAGGUAAGUGGAAUUCCGAGUGUAGAGGUGAAAUUCGUAGAUAUUCGGAAGAACACCAGUGGCGAAGGCGACUUACUGGACACAUAUUGACGCUGAGGUGCGAAAGCGUGGGGAGCAAACAGG
rnacentral:rRNA from 1 species